AUUGAACGCUGGCGGCAUGCUUUACACAUGCAAGUCGAACGGCAGCGCGGGCUUCGGCCUGGCGGCGAGUGGCGAACGGGUGAGUAAUACAUCGGAACGUGCCCAGUAGUGGGGGAUAGCUCGGCGAAAGCCGGAUUAAUACCGCAUACGACCUGAGGGUGAAAGCGGGGGAUCUUCGGACCUCGCGCUAUUGGAGCGGCCGAUGGCAGAUUAGCUAGUUGGUGGGGUAAAGGCCUACCAAGGCGACGAUCUGUAGCUGGUCUGAGAGGACGACCAGCCACACUGGGACUGAGACACGGCCCAGACUCCUACGGGAGGCAGCAGUGGGGAAUUUUGGACAAUGGGCGAAAGCCUGAUCUAGCAAUGCCGCGUGUGUGAUGAAGGCCUUCGGGUUGUAAAGCACUUUUGGCGGGAACGAAAAGGACUGUGCAAAUACCACGGUUCGAUGACGGUACCCGCAGAAUAAGCACCGGCUAACUACGUG
rnacentral:rRNA from 1 species